GCGAUGUAGAGUUUGAGCUUACUGCGGUUCUGGGACAGGACAAGAAGAGGGGGUAUCAUCUGUAGAGAGGAGGAAGAGGAGAAGUGUCAGUUUUGAUCCGGUCCAAAUGCUUGCACAACGAUGAAGCCGCAGUGAUCAUGAUUCAGCAUGCAUGCAUAGCUAUCCGUCACCGACAGCUUUAGCUUCAUCAUAAAAAAACAAAACAAAAAAAAUUAAGUGAGUAAAAUUUAUAACAAAUAAGACGCAUAGAAACUGCAUGCAAAUUUAAGACUCUUGAGCUGCACAGGCAACACACGACGAAUGCUUUCAAUCUCAAACAAAUGUGACCCAACAUCAAACGAUAUGAACACAGAUGAAUGAAGGGGGGGGGGAAA